GAGAGGGUGGAGGAGCACAUCCCCGUGAAGAAGAUGAGAUCCUACCUCCUCGGUCUAAACAUCGUCAAGAAAUCAUAGAGCAGAGCAGCAGCAAAGCGAAGUCUCUAAUCGAUCUAGCAGCAUAUGCACGAGCUGAGGCUAGGUACAAAUACGCGAGGAGGUCAAGGUCAUUCUUCCUGAUGACCAAAGGUAGACAGGAUCUUUCCCUGUGUCCUAUGGCGAGCCCUUG